CCUUCACUUCCCGUAACGUAACACAGUGGAACCUAACGUACCUCAACUGCCGCAAAGAAGGGGCGCUACAGGUUGGGGCCGGGGGCAGCAAUGUAACCAACUAAAAAGCCACAUUUCUUGCUUCCCUUGCAACUAGGGGUAAUUUCAAUUGUUGCCAAUGAAAUGUAAGAAAAAGUUUGCUGACCCCUGGACUACAGCAACACCUUCAUUUUAUAUAUGAGGAAAAUGAGGCCCAGGAAGGUUAACAAAAGAUCCCGCAUGGUAAUAUGCGGGUUUUUAUUCCAAACCCAGCAGCCCCAUGAUAAUGGCCAAAGAUGAUACCAAGAAGUGGAAUUGCUGGGAUAUAUGGGCUUCCCUGGUGAUGCAGUAGUGGGGAAUCCACCUGCCAAUGCAGGGGUCGCGGGUUUAAGCCCUGGUCCAGGAAGAUCCCACAUGCCGCAGAGCAACUAAGCCCGUGCACCACAACUACUGAGCCUGCAUUCUAGACCCCAUAAGCCACAACCACAGAGCCCGAGUCCCACAAGUACUGAAGCCCAUGUGCCUAGAGCCCAUGCUCCACAAUAAGAGAAGCCACUGCAAUGAGAAGCCCGCGCACUGCAAUGAAGAGUAGCCCCUGCUCGCCACAACUGGAGAAAGCCUGCAUGCAGCAACGAAAGACCCAAUGCAGCCAAAAAUAAUAAAUAAAUAAAGAACUUAAAAAAAAAUUACUUUCAUAUACGUACGAGAAAAGACUGGAGGAAAAUGCAUUCAAAUGUUAAUAGUGGUUAUCACUGAGUGGUGGGGAUUAUGGAUACUUUUAUGUUUUCUUCAUGUUUUGUAUCAUCCAAAUUUCUAUAACUAUCAUAUUUUACCUUUAUGGUUAAAAAAACAGCAAUGAGGGGGCUUCCCUGGUGGCGCAGUGGUUGCGCGUCCGCCUGCCGAUGCAGGGGAACCGGGUUCGCGCCCCG